GCUAUUUGGCAAAUCUAUCUUGCUAGCAAUACUGUGGUACAAGCAAAUAUGUGUGUCCGGUGCUUAUUAGGGUUCAAGAAUGAAAAAAAAGAGGGGUACAGUGUCAUGCUUGCUCACUUUGUGCUGGGUGAACAGCACACAGUGACUAGACGCAGACAAGUAGAAAUGUAAACAGUGGAAGAAGAAAAAAAGGAAAAACUAAAAACAGGACACAGUACGGUAGCACAUGAUCUACACGACCUCAUUUUACAGGUACAUGCUGAUUGAUCAAAAUACAAUUAACCCAGAAAAAAUGAUACGCACACAAACUCAUAUUCUUUUUUUUUUGUUCUGUUUUUAUAAAGCACGAAUUGGGCUCGCCAUCGACAGCACUACUUAUAUAUGCUCGGCGAAAAUAUCGAUAGGACUCUGAUUUCUAUCUGUGAUAUAUAGGUAGCGAUCGAUCUCGUGAUCUCUUCUCACCGGAUAUAUUUAAUUUCGACCUCCAAUUUGA
rnacentral:lncRNA from 1 species